rnacentral:rRNA from 1 species
CAGCGCCACGAGUGGUAACCACGUUUAUUGGGCCUAAAGCGUCCGUAGCCGGUUUGAUAAAUCUUUUGUGAAAUUGUACAGCUUAACUGUACAGCGUGCAAGAGACACUGUCAAACUUGAGACCGGGAGGAGUCAGAAGUAUUCCAGAGGGAGCGGUAAAAUGUUAUAAUCUCUGGAGGACUACCUGUGGCGAAGGCGUCUGACCAGAACGGAUCUGACGGUGAGGGACGAAAGCUAGGGGAGCAAACCGGAUUAGAUACCCGCGUAGUCC